AGGUAGAGAAUACCAAGGCGCUUGAGAGAACUAUGUUGAAGGAACUCGGCAAAUUGCCCCCGUAACUUCGGGAGAAGGGGGGCCCGGAUCGUGAACCCACUUGCUGGGGGAGGCGUGAAGGGCCGCAGAGACCAGGGGAAAGCGACUGUUUACUAAAAACACAGGUCCGUGCGAAGUCGCAAGACGAUGUAUACGGACUGACGCCUGCCCGGUGCUGGAAGGUUAAGAGGAGAUGUCAUUCCUUCGGGGAGAAGCAUUGAAUUGAAGCCCCAGUAAACGGCGGCCG
rnacentral:rRNA from 11 species